GACGAACGCUGGCGGCGUCCUUAACACAUGCAAGUCGAACGAAGUGGCGAACGGGUGAGUAACGCGUAAUCAACCUGCCCUUCAGCGGCGGACAACAGCUGGCAACGACUGCUAAUACCGCAUACUGAAGGAGGGGAUUUCUUCUGAUUAAGUAGUUGGCGGGGUAACGGCCCACCAAGGCGAUGAUCAGUAGCCGGGCUGAGAGGAUGAACGGUCACAAUGGUAGUGAGACACGGCCCAGACGCAUACGGGAGGAAGCAGUGGGGAAUCUUUCGCAAUGGACGAAAGUCUGACGGAGCAACGCCGUGGGAGUGAUGACGGGCUUCGGGUUGUAAAGCUCUGUGAAUCGGGACGCGGUACCGGAAUAGAAAGCCACGGCGAACUACGUGCCAGCCGCCGCGGUAAUAC
rnacentral:rRNA from 1 species